GAUGAACGCUAGCGGCAGGCUUAACACAUGCAAGUCGAGGGGUAUAGUUCUUCGGAGCUAGAGACCGGCGCACGGGUGCGUAACGCGUAUGCAAUCUACCUUUUACAGAGGGAUAGCCCAGAGAAAUUUGGAUUAAUACCUCAUAGCAUUGCAGGAUGGCAUCAUUCAGCAAUUAAAGUCACAACGGUAAAAGAUGAGCAUGCGUCCCAUUAGCUAGUUGGUAAGGUAACGGCUUACCAAGGCUACGAUGGGUAGAGGUCCUGAGAGGGAGAUCCCCCACACUGGUACUGGGACACGGACCAGACGCCUACGGGAGGCAGCAGUGAGGAAUAUUGGACAAUGGGCGCAAGCCUGAUCCAGCCAUGCCGCGUGCAGGAUGACGGUCCUAUGGAUUGUAAACUGCUUUUAUACGAGAAGAAACACUGCUUCGUGAAGCAGCUUGACGGUAUCGUAAGAAUAAGGAUCGGCUAACUCCGUGCCAGCCGCCGCCGUAAAAC
rnacentral:rRNA from 1 species